rnacentral:miRNA from 1 species
UUGUGCGUGUUCUAAUAGUUGU